rnacentral:rRNA from 1 species
GACGAACGCUGGCGGCGUGCUUAACACAUGCAAGUCGAACGGAAAGGCCCUGCUUUUGUGGGGUGCUCGAGUGGCGAACGGGUGAGUAACACGUGAGUAACCUGCCCUUGACUUUGGGAUAACUUCAGGAAACUGGGGCUAAUACCGGAUAGGAGCUCCUGCUGCAUGGUGGGGGUUGGAAAGUUUCGGCGGUUGGGGAUGGACUCGCGGCUUAUCAGCUUGUUGGUGGGGUAGUGGCGUACCAAGGCUUUGACGGGUAGCCGGCCUGAGAGGGUGACCGGCCACAUUGGGACUGAGGUACGGCCCAGCCUCCUACGGGAGGCAGCAGUGGGAAAUAUUGCACAAUGGGCGGAAGCCUGAUGCAGCAGCGCCGCGUGCGGGAUGACGGCCUUCGGGUUGUAAACCGCUUUCGCCUGUGCCGAAGCGUGAGUGACGGUAAUGGGUAAAAAAGCACCGGCUAACUACGUG